CAAACACUCCUUCACUCUGGGACAUAAUUAGGACACUAACUCAAGGUCCCUGUGUUCUUCCUAUCUUGGCCUGCUAACAGGAUAUCAAGAGAUCUAGUUCUGCCUCAUGGAUUAAAAGGAAAGGGUCCCUACUCUCUUUUCUUCUUUCAUUUUUGUACUCCAGCAGAUCAGAAUAUCUAGCCAAGGUCUAAUCCUGCAUCUACUGAAGUCACAUGUGAUGUGCUCUUUCCUGGAGAUUUUGUUGUUGUUUCCUUUGUUCUCUGAAUAGAAAGUCAAGAUAUUUCUGACUAAUU